AUUGAACGCUUGCGGCAGGCCUAACACAUGCAAGUCGAACGAGCUGCUGACGGGUGAGUAAUGUCUGGGAAACUGCCUGAUGGAUGGGGAUAACUACUGGAAACCGUAGCUAAUACCGCAUACCCUCGGAUGUGCCCAGAUGGGAUUGGCCAGUAGGUGGGGUAACGGCUCACCUAGGCGCCGAUCCCUAGCUGGUCUGAGAGGAUGACCAGCCACACUGGAACUGAGACACGGUCCAGACUCCUACGGGAGGCAGCAGUGGGGAAUAUUGCACAAUGGGCGCAAGCCUGAUGCAGCCAUGCCGCGUGUAUGAAGAAGGCCUUCGGGUUGUAAAGUACUUUCAGCGGGGAGGCGUUACCCGCAGAAGAAGCACCGGCUAACUCCGUGCCAGCCGCCGCGGUAAUUC
rnacentral:rRNA from 1 species